AUUGAACGCUGGCGGCAGGCCUAACACAUGCCAGUCGAGCGAGCGGCAGACGGGUGGGUAAUAUCUGGGCAACUGCCUGAUGGAGGGGGCUCACUACUGGAAACGGUAGCUAAUAACGAAUACCAUCAGAUUUUCCCAGAUGGGACUAGCUAGUCGGUGGGGUAACGGCUCACAAAGGCGACGAUCGCUAGAUGGUCUGAGAGGAUGACCAGCCACACUGGAACUGAGACACGGCCCCUACUCCACCGGGAGGCAGCAGGGGGGAAUAGUGCACAAGGGCCGCAAGCCUGAUGCAGCCCUGCCGCGUUUGUGAAGAAGGCCAUCGGGUGGUAAAGCACUUUCAGAUGGGAGGCGUUACCCGCAGAAGAAGCCCCGGCUAACUCCGUGCCAGCAGCCGCGGUAAUAC
rnacentral:rRNA from 1 species